rnacentral:lncRNA from 1 species
UCUCUCUAGCCGAGCACCCUCUCCCUUCUCUCUAAAAGAUUUCCUUUUCCUUUUCUCCCCUCUAACUCCAACUAGAUCUUUCUUCCUUUCUUAGUUGGCGGCCCUAGCCUCGUCGGUCUCUCUCACCACCAGACCUAGCCAAACACCCCUUUCUUCGAACCUCACCAUCGGCUGGAUCUCACACUAUCAGAUCUGGCCAAAGCGAAA